CAUUAGAACUGAGGUCAAGAUUAGAACUCAAGUCCUUCUGACUCCCAGGUCCAGGCUUACACUUCUUUUUCCCUACAGCAGCAGAGAUCCAGCCCUCUUCCUUUGUCCAGGAAAAACCGGGGUGACGAUAAGUGCAGCAAGAGAGCAACCCUGAUGAGCACAGGUCUACGCCAACAACUCCUAGACUUCAAAAAGCCCAGCUGGUCCAACGAAAAGGAAAUUGGAAGACUGAAGAUGGCGAUGAAGAAUGGGGACGGAAGGACCAGGCCCUCGAUCCCUGAGCCAACGAAGCAGGUAAGAAGACCGGUCCCUUUGGGGGUGGGGGUGCUUGAGGUUCCUUAGAUCCAAUUCUAAAACAUGCAAGUCCCAGCUCAGCGAUGUUUGAACAGCUCGCAGUGGAUAAAACGAGCUGCAGUUUGCUGAAUUUAAUUCCAACUAAAAUUGAAAUUUGCCCAAUGAAGACUGUACAGUUGGAAUUCCAGUUAGAAGCGGAGUGGGUUACUCUUCAUCCCGGAUUCUCUGUGAUACGAGAGCGGUGUUGCACUUUCAGGGCCAGAAUGUAAUUUUUCUUUCCCUAGCGGGAACUCUCACAGAAACACAGCGGACUGGAGAAAUUUCAGACCUCUGUUCUUAUCGCUCAGCUUGCUCUACAAGCCCAAGGCGUUGUUGUUUUUAUUAU